CUCUUCUACCUCUCUUGCCUCCUCGUUCUCCCAGGGGACAUCUGUCUUCCCUCCUCGUUCUGCUGGCACAACCCAGUACCUGCCAGAAGCUCAUAGGACCCCAUCUUUUGUGCACACGACACAUCAGAAUUGCAGCUUGAAGUGACAAAUAGGUUGAGGUUGGAUGCUCCUAUUAGUCAGCACCUUGAGGGUAGAGAGGGAGAUGGAACAUUAGCAAAGGAGGAGCAAUGCAGUGAAAAGGACAGAAUUUCUGUUUAAGGACAGAGAAGCCAAGUAACAAAUGCCACUAGGAGACUCAAGGGAUACAGCUGUGCAAAGAAAACUGCAGAAAAAAAUAAAUGUGUCCCCAACUACCUGUAAUCAACAUUGCACUUCCUGCUCACUGGAAACUACCUGGAUCAGAUCCUUAGGUCUUAAUACUGUAUUAUGUAUGGGUG
ensembl:lncRNA